UCAUUUCUAGAAGGAACAAAAUCAAUUAAAUAUAGAUCAAAUUUCCCCAACGAAAAUGUGAAAAUGAACACAAUCCCCAAAGGAAAAAACUAAAGCUGCUAAUUACCACUCCUAUCAAUAUUCAAUUUCAACUAAUUUUUCCGAGCAUCUGCGAGAUUAAAUCUGUGAAUUUUCGCAGUGACUAGUUUGAUUCUCAUUAUUGUAGUUCUCUGCUUUGCUUCUUGCAUUUUUCUUUGUCUUCUUCUCGUUUUCCGAAUUUGGACUAGAUUAUUUGUGGAUCAAAAGCUGGUGAAGGCGAUCGCAGCUUUAUGCUUGAGCGAUAAUUGAAGUAUGAAUCGAAGCCGAAAAAGCGGCAAGGCAACUCAUGGCCGCUGAAACUCACUUUUAGUUUAGAAAGAGGCUUUUGGCAAAUGGGCCUAUCGUCUUUCCCAAAGCCCCUUUUGUUCCAUCACACCUUAUAUGGAUAGAAUUCCUCAUCCCUAAGUUUCGAUUUUUCACAGCCUUUUGCUUCGAUUGCGACGUUUUGCGAUUCUUUCCGGCUAGGAAUGGCAUAGGCACUCCAGAUUUUUGUUUGGUAGCUGCAACUGAGUAGAAGCAACUUGAUUGUAGGACAAUUGUGUGAAGUUGAAAAAUUGUGCAUUUUACAUUUCCAUUGACUGAUUGUUUGAUAGUUCUGGUGUUAUUAUUGUCUUCCAUUUUGAAUAAUGAGUCAGUAGUGUUAUUGAUAGUUCUGGUGUUAUUAUUAGCCAAAAUUAAGCGGUUCAUUUUAUUUUCUUUACAUAUCAUAUGGUUUUAUCUGUGGCUUUAAUAAACUGCUUAUCUGUUGCUGUUUGUAAGUGUUUUUUGUGAGCUUAGUCUCUGAUUUCACUUGAUUUUUAUGUAGAUGAAUGAUUACGGUUUACUGUUUGAACAUGACUUAAUAAUUGACGAACAUGUAUGGCUUCAGAUAAGGAUAAUGUAUGUAUCAUCUAAAGAUGAACCAAUCCACUGCAUUCCACAAAUAGGAAUUGUAAACAUCCCCACAAAGUUGGAUCAAUGAUUAUGCCAUUUUGGUCAAACUAAAACUGCUUUGGUGUUAUCCUUCUUUUCUAGGACAAUGAGUGACUAGAUUGAGAUAUUUUUGUCAUGACCACUCAUUGUUGCUUUCAGGGCGUGCUUGACAUUAGCUGGAUCUGCAUUUUGAGUGGAAGUUGUGAACGGAACUGUUGAGACACUGGAUUCACGAAAAUCGACUGAUGGACUUGACGUUUCAUGUCCUCUGUGUAAGAUAUCGACUUCGGGGAUUAUUGAAACUGGGCAGGUUCUGGAUGUAGCCUGGUUUUUGAGAUAGAACAUGAUCAGCUCUUCAUCAGUGGGGUGAAAUCUGAAACCUGGAGGAAGAUCAGUGCUAGAAGUGCUAUGAGGAGAAGGAGAAGGAGAAGGAGAAGGAGAAGGAGAGGGAGAAGUGUUUGAAAUGUUUGCAAGGCAAUAGCUCGUCUAUUUAUAUCUCAACAUUUUUGUCAUCUUGUGAGUUUUACUUAAUGAAGCUAUUAACAUUUUUGCAAUGAGGACAAAAUGCUCCAUUCUAGCACAAAACAUGAGACAAAAUCAACAACAAGAACUACACACAGUCUAAGCUAGAAGCAAUAAAAGAUAAAAGCACACAACUUAAGUAAAAUUCACACCUUUUAAAAAUGUUUGGAAGAUGGAUGCCCAACUAAGAGAGGAAGCAUGCGGCCGGAUCCUUGGGCAAGCAUAGAAAUAUGUUCCAUCGAUCAUGACAUUAGUACCAUAAGCAACUUAAGAAUUUGUAGUUGAAAAUGGCGUGUUCUAAUGUUUGGAGUAUUGAUUUAUUGCAUAAAUAUAUCUAUCAUCAUCGAUUCCUUGGAUUCAUAUGUUUGAUCAAGCUAUUGACAUGACCUAAUCAAAUUUGAUCUUG